rnacentral:rRNA from 1 species
AUUGAACGCUGGCGGCAUGCUUUACACAUGCAAGUCGAACGGUAACAGGCCGCAAGGUGCUGACGAGUGGCGAACGGGUGAGUAAUGCAUCGGAACGUGCCCAGUCGUGGGGGAUAACGCAGCGAAAGCUGCGCUAAUACCGCAUACGAUCUCUGGAUGAAAGCGGGGGACCGAAAGGCCUCGCGCGAUUGGAGCGGCCGAUGUCAGAUUAGGUAGUUGGUGGGGUAAAGGCCCACCAAGCCAACGAUCUGUAGCUGGUCUGAGAGGACGACCAGCCAAACUGGGACUGAGACACGGCCCAGACUCCUACGGGAGGCAGCAGUGGGGAAUUUUGGACAAUGGACGCAAGUCUGAUCCAGCCAUGCCGCGUGCGGGAAGAAGGCCUUCGGGUUGUAAACCGCUUUUGUCAGGGAAGAAACGGCUUUCUCUAAUACAGAGGGCUAAUGACGGUACCUGAAGAAUAAGCACCGGCUAACUACGUGCCAGCCGCCGCGGUAAAAC